GCAUCGAUGAAGAACGCAGCAAAUUGCGAAAAUUAAUGUGCAUUGCAGUACGUGAAUCAUCGAGUCUUUGAACGCAACUUGCACUCUAGGUUCUCCUAGAGUAUGCCUAUUUGAGUAUCAGUCAACCCCCACUCAAACCACGCAUGCGUGUGCGUUGGUUUGGACCAGAUGAGUCCUGUCCCCUCCGGAGGACUGACUUUAAUCAGAGUGAAUCAGGUCUAUGCAUACCAGCAUACUACACUUGUUCGACGUGAUAGUCCCCCUUUGGGUGUCCUCGUCGUCAACAACAUAGAGUGGUGUGUUGGUCAUAGAACCGUGUCACACACCCCCAUCUCAAAUCCCCAUCGAGUCUUGAUCUCAAAUUAGGUAGGAUUACCCGCUGAACUUAAGCAUAUCAAUAAGCGGAGGA
rnacentral:rRNA from 1 species